AGAGGAUUAGAUCUGGUAGUCCACGCCGUAAACGAUGAGGACUAGCCGUUGGGCAGAUUUAACUGUUCAGUGGCACAGCUAACGCAUUAAGUUCUCCGCCUGGGGAGUACGGCCGCAAGGCUAAAACUCAAAUGAAUUGACGGGGGCCCGCACAAGUGGUGGAGCAUGUGGUUUAAUUCGAUGCAACGCGAAGAACCUUACCAACCCUUGAAAUCUAGCGAAGUUCACAGAGAUGAGAAUGUGCCUUCGGGAACGCUAUGACAGGUGUUGCAUGGCUGUCGUCAGCUCGUGCCG
rnacentral:rRNA from 1 species